AUGUGAAGGAUGAAUUGUGAGGAACAGAAAAUUUUACAUACAUUGCUAAUUUAUGUAUCUUUUUAUAUCAUCAAGACAUCAACUAGGCUAAAUCAACAGUUUCAGAUGAAAAUUGUUUGACCAUAGAGGGAUAAUUAUGUCAAAGUAGAGGGAGAAAUAGUUUGAUCAUUUGAAUCCCCCAAAACACCCCACUAGAAAAGGGGAAAGAAAAAAGCCCUCAAAGUAAGGAAGGGAAGCAAGGGACAUAUAUUAGCUUUCAAGUUUUGUUAGAAUAUUCUCGUAAAAGAGUUCUAAUAAAAAGGCUUUGUCCUCAUUUUCCAUUUUCUGCAACAUAGAGGAAUUCUUGAUGUAGUAGUGAGUUGGGGCCGGGUGACAAUGGGGAAAUGUGCAUGGACAUGUAGACCAUGGGUGGAUUCACAUAAGAAGGCAUGGCCACUUUCUUGGUUUUUUGGCAGAGUAUUUUAUAUCAAUUGGAUUAUAUUUUAUUUUGUUUCAUAAACUCUUCCAGGAUGAUGAAUUGAUUGUUAAUAUGCGCGAGAGUCCAUGUAUAUUUGGUAUGUAGGCUAACUUUGCUAACAUUAGUGGAAAUCUACUCAAUAACGGAUUUUCUUUGUCCUUUCGUAUCCUGUAAUUGCAUACUUUA
rnacentral:misc_RNA from 1 species